GAUUAGGAAAAUGACUUCCGGUUUUAAAAAUGCGAAGUCAUAUUCCCUUAUUUUGAGGUUAUUUUCCUUUCACCAACAACUUAUUUUUCUUUGACCAAAUUUAUUAAACACCCCUAAACAUCGGAAAAUAAGGAAAUGUUUUUCAAGAAAAUAUUUUCCUUCAAACAAAUGCAGCCUAAAUUUCGUUAAAUUACUUUUUUUCAACUAUAUCUAAAGGCUUAUUUAGCGUUACUAUUUGAGUUACCGUUGAGAAAACAACUCCUCAAAAAUUUUAAAAAAAUACUAAAAAAUGAUUUAAAUUAAGUUAAAUUUGAAAUGUUU
rnacentral:misc_RNA from 1 species